rnacentral:rRNA from 1 species
GUGCCAGCCGCCGCGGUAAAACUAGCAUCUCGAGUGGCAGUCACCAUUAUUGGGCUUAGAGCGUCCGUAGCUCGUCUGGAAAGUCUCUGGUGAAAUCCUGCGGCUUAACCGUAGGGCGCGCCGGAGAAACUACCAGGCUUGAAGGCAGGAGAGGCAGGGGGUACGUCUGGGGUAGGGGUGAAAUCCUAUAAUCCUAGACGGACCAACAGUGGCGAAGGCGCCCUGCAUGAAUGCGCUUGACAGUGAGGGACGAGAGCCAAGAGCGCGAAACGGAUUAGAUACCCGUGUAGUCUUGGCCGUAAACGAUGCUGACUAGGUGGGGUGUGACCUUAGAGGUCAUGCUAUGCCGAAGAGAAAUCGUUAAGUCAGCCGCCUGGGGAGUACGACCGCAAGGUUGAAACUUAAAGGAAUUGGCGGGGGAGCACUACAAGGGGUGGAAGCUGCGGUUUAAUUAGAUUCAACGCUGGACAUCUCACCGGAGGCGACAGCAGGAUGAAGGCCAGACUGAUGGUCUUGCCGAACACGCUGAGAGGAGGUGCAUGGCCGUCGUCAGCUCGUGCUGUAAAGUGUUAGGUUAAGUCCUAAAACGAGCGAGACCCUCAUGCUUAUUUGCAACCAGUCCUUCCGAGGGCUGAGCACAAUAAGCAGACUGCCUGCUAUAAGUAGGAGGAAGGAGUGGACAACGAUAGGUCCGCAUGCCCCAAAUCUUCCGGGCUACACGCGUCUUACAAUGGCCGGUACAAUGAGUCGCGACCCCGAAAGGGGGAGCCAAUCUCGAAAGCCGGUCUCGGUUCGGAUCGAGGGUUGCAACUCACCCUCGUGAAGCUGGAAUCCCUAGUAAUCGCUGCUCAUUAUACAGCGAUGAAUACGUCCCUGCUCCUUGCACACACUGUCCGUCACUCCAACUAAGCAGGUUCUAGAUGAGGCUAGGUCCCUUGAUUUGGUCAAAUCUGGGGUCUGUGAGGGGGGGGAAGUCGUAACAAGGUAACC